GCCUGAUAUCUUAGGCCUUAUGGAACAGAAACCAUGGGAGAGACAGACACAGAUAAAUGCUCCCUGGGCAAGAAGUGACCAAGAAACAUGCUAGAUCGGAAGGAGCA